CUCCUGCUGUUUUGGCCUCGGUCAAAAAAAAAUUCAAUACUGAACUUUUAUUGCUUCAUCGUAUAUACGAGACGUUUUCUCCAGUACCUAAUACUCCAGAAAGUCUAAACGGAGUAUUUGAAAAGGACAUAAUAGACAUUCCACAUUAAAAGAAAAAAGAAAAGAAAAAUCAGUUUUCUCCUUCCCAAUUGAUCCCGAUCCGCUGCCUCCUCUAGAGCGCCGGCGCCGCCCUCUGCAGCGUGCCGCCGAAGCUGUCCACGCCCUCCAGCACGCCACCGCUGUCCUCGCCUCCAGUCCGCGCCGCCGCUGCUCUCCGCCCAGCCCGCGCCGCCCUCGUCGCCGCGCGCCACCGCUGUCCUCACCUCCAGCCCGCGCUGCCCUCGUCGCAGCGCGCCGCUGCCGCUCUCCACCCAUCCACGAUGUAGAGGUUCGAGGCAUCGUGCCGCACGCCGGGGACGCCCAUCUCGGAGAGCUUCAGGUUCUGCAGCUCUUGCUCGCCAACAGAGACAGGAGGCAGGAGAUGGCGUACUUAUUGCAGAGCUUCUUGGCCGACAGCAACAGGAGGCAGGGGAUGGCUCAGGUCCAGCAGCUUCACGAGUACACCAGCUCGGUGGUCGCGGCCUCGAACGCGCGGAUGAGGGAAGGCCGCAGCACCAAAUUUGGCGGCGGAAGGAUAUCGGAAGGCAGCCUGCGGCGGCGGAGGGAGCUCGCGAGGCGGCCCUGAGGCGGCGGACAGGGAGAGAAGGGCAACGGGCGGACGGGGAGAGAAGGAGGGACCAGAACUGAGGACGUUUUGGUUUGUUUACGCUUUUACCCCUGUGCGGGAAUACGCCAUCCGGUUACUCCCCAUAUCUAAAUUAGAGUAUCAAGAGUAGCAAAUUCAUAGCCAUUAGAUCAAAACAAAUGGACGGCUUAAAUAAUUCUGAAGUACCGUAGAAGACCUCAUAUAUGAGUUUGGUAUUUAACUGUGUGUAUCACCUGUUAUAGUAUUGAACCUGCGAACCCAACGGUGUCACGAAGGGAAAACAAGAGGGAUAUGCUGUAAUUUGAGGAGUUCAUGUAUAUCUGGAAGUAUUCAGUGAAAACCCUCAUUUUCACAGUUUGUACCGUAAAGGUGGUUUUCACCGGAUACUUCGCCUUCUUAAUUACCCUAAGUUCCUUAA